CACUGUAACGAAUUGCUGUAAAAACUACAGCGUUAUUUUACAGAAGCUGACUGUUUUUUAAAUAAUACAGAAUAUUGCUGUAAAGUGCAAUGCAUUCUGGGGUCACGUGACGGAUUAACUCAAAUGUACAGAAUAUUGCUGUAAAUUUCAAAUCUACAAUGGCGGGAUGAUCUUCAACAGUCGAGAUUGGGGUAGUGCGCAAAAUGAGUGAUUCACACCUGUGGACACACUUUGCCAUGCAGGCCACUGGAUGCUGACUACUGAAGGUUAGGUUCUGUGUGACGUUCUCAGCACAGCUUCAUGUCUGGCCUUGUCACUCUGUUCAUAGCAUGUUACAUAUUCAAUCUUGAGUACCAGGAUGGGUCAGCGUGUCUCUUGGAGUCCACUGAAAGAUAUUAAUCCAGAGAGUGGAGCAAGAAGAAGCGUCAUCUAAAAUGCCAGGAUACAGAAGAAACAGGUUGCAGUGAACCCACAUGUUGCCGCUCUUCUAAACACAAUGAUGAAUUUUCAUUGUAAUCGAUGAAAA